rnacentral:rRNA from 1 species
GACGAACGCUGGCGGCGUGCUUAACACAUGCAAGUCGAACGGAAAGGCCCUGCUUUUGUGGGGUGCUCGAGUGGCGAACGGGUGAGUAACACGUGAGUAACCUGCCCUUGACUUUGGGAUAACUUCAGGAAACUGGGGCUAAUACCGGAUAGGAGCUCCUGCUGCAUAGUGGGGGUUGGAAAGUUUCGGCGGUUGGGGAUGGACUCGCGGCUUAUCAGCUUGUUGGUGGGGUAGUGGCUUACCAAGGCUUUGACGGGUAGCCGGCCUGAGAGGGUGACCGGCCACAUUGGGACUGAGAUACGGCCCAGACUCCUACGGGAGGCAGCAGUGGGGAAUACUGCACAAUGGGCGGAAGCCUGAUGCAGCAACGCCGCGUGCGGGAUGACGGCCUUCGGGUUGUAAACCGCUUUCGCCUGUGACGAAGCGUGAGUGACGGUAAUGGGUAAAGAAGCACCGGCUAACUACGUG